AUUGAACGCUGGCGGCAGGCCUAACACAUGCAAGUCGAACGAGUGGCGGACGGGUGAGUAAUGCUUGGGAAUCUAGCUUAUGGAGGGGGAUAACUACGGGAAACGGGAGCUAAUACCGCGUACUAGAGGACGAGCCCAGGGGGGAUUAGGUAGUUGGUGUGGUAAAGGCUCACCAAGCCGACGCUCUCUAGCUGGUCUGAGAGGAGUACCAGCCGCACUGGGACUGAGACACGGCCCAGACUCCGACGGGAGGCAGCAGUGGGGAAUAUUGCGCAAUGGGGGCAACCUGACGCAGCCAUGCCGCGUGAAUGAAGAAGGGCUUCGGGUUGUAAAGUUCUUUCGGUAGCGAGGCGUUAACUACAGAAGAAGCACCGGCUAACUCCGUGCCAGCAGCCGCGGUAAUUC
rnacentral:rRNA from 1 species